rnacentral:rRNA from 1 species
GACGAACGCUGGCGGCGUGCUUAACACAUGCAAGUCGAACGGGAACCCUUGGAUUCGUCUGGGGGGGAGAGUGGCAAACGGGUGAGUAACACGUGGGUGACCUGCCCCGAAGAGGAGAACAACCAUCGGAAACGGUGGCUAAUACUCCAUGUGCUCUGUGGUUCGUUCCACUGAGUAAAGCUCCGGCGCUUUGGGAGGGGCCUGCGGCCCAUCAGGUAGUUGGUAGGGUAAUGGCCUACCAAGCCGAUGACGGGUAGGGGGCGUGAGAGCGUGAUCCCCCACACUGGCACUGAGACACGGGCCAGACUCCUACGGGAGGCAGCAGUGAGGAAUAUUGCCCAAUGGACGAAAGUCUGAGGCAGCAACGCCGCGUGGGCGAUGAAGGCCUUCGGGUUGUAAAGCCCUUUUCUGGGGGACGAGAGAGGACGGUACCCCAGGAAUAAGUCACGGCUAACUACGUG